rnacentral:misc_RNA from 1 species
GCACUACGAGCCCAGCUUAAAACUCAAAGGACCUGGCGGCGCCCUACAUCCAUCUAGAGGAGCCUGUUCUAUAAUCGACACCCCCCGAUAAACCUCACCACCUCUUGCUAAUACAGUCUAUAUACCACCGCCUUAGUAUACCUUUUAAAAGAAUAAAAGUGAACGAAAUAAUUUUAAAUAAAAAAGUCAGGUCAAGGUGUAGCAAAUGAGCUGGAAAGAAAUGGGCUACAUUUUUUAAUUUUAAAAAACACGGAAUAUUUUAUGAAAUAAAAUAUGAAGGAGGAUUUAGAAGUAAAAAGAAAAAAGAGUGUUCUUUUUAAACAGGCAAUAGAGCACGCACACACCGCCCGUCACCCUCUCUAAAAUAAUUAAGCUUAAUUAUAAAAGAGGAAAGUCGUAACAUGGUAAGUCUACCGGAAGGUGGCCUUGGAUAUAGAGUAUAGCUUAAAUAAAGCAUUUUGUUUACACCAAAAAAAUAUUUGUUUAACCAAAUUAUUCUGAAUUUUAAAUCUAGCCCAAACAUAAUAAUUAUCCGCCAUCC